UGUAAGCGUAUACCAAAGUUGUUGCAGUUAAAACGCUCGUAGUCGGAAUUUGGCAGUUCCGGAUGUGUGCACGUCGUGUGCGCACUUCGCGGGGAUUGCUUUUGUGGUCUUGCGUAGGAUGAGGCACUUUUAUUAGUGAACGUCCUCACGCAACCACUUUUUACUGUGAGAAAAUCAGAGUGCUCAAAGCAGGCAUUUGCCGGGAAUGUAUUAGCAUGGAAUAAUAGAAUAGGACUUGGUUCUAUUUUGUUGGUUUGUUGGGACUGAGUAAUGAUUAAGAGGGACAGUUGGGGGCAUUUGUAUUUCGGUGCUAGAGGUGAAAUUCUUAGAUUACCGAAAGACAAACUGCUGCGAAAGCGUCUGCCAAGGAUGUUUUCAUUGA
rnacentral:rRNA from 1 species